AGCCACUCCUCUGUUAGAACUACAACCAAACAAUGCUCAGGCAGUCCACGGCAGCUGCUCUCCAAAUGUCAGCGCCAGCCCCGUCCAAAGAGCUUGAAAGGCAGCAAGCUGGAGGGUUUUGUGCUGUACCUUUCUCGCCCACAUUUUCCCCAAGCCCUCCCAGGAACCUGGCAACAGGUAACGUGGCAACCUUUGCUUUAUAAACUGGCAAGUGGCAUCAUUUGAGAGAACAAAUGGAUUUUCUUUUUUAAAGUCAGCUUCAUCUCCCCCUGCCACCUCCAUACUUCGCCCCCCCACCCCCCGCCCGCCAAGGAGCUGAGAAAAAGGCACUGCCUCCUGGCAGCCCUGCUCUCGAGUGCCGCCUUGUGGCUAAGCUCAGAAUAUCACCGAAGUACCCUGAAACCCGCGGCUCAGCUCGAGCAGCUAGGGUAACAUUUUUUUAUGACUGCGAGUUGAAAAGCAAGAACUGCUGUAGCCGCGUGGUUAGGUGAGUGGCAGCAAGGAGCAAUAGCCAAGAAACUGAGGAUUCCUGUUGGGCUGAAUGCCAACUGCACAAAAGAGCUCCUGUUGACAUCUCAUUUACAAUCUCCCCCAGGACACAGACAAGACCAUUUCAAUAAACCCGGCUCAGAAACACCUAUUGUUCGAAAUCUUCAACUAGCCACAGGCUACCACCACUCCCUAUUGUUUUGUAAAAGAAAAGAUUUAGAAGGAGAAAGAUUGCCACUGUGGAAGCUCUGAAAAGAGGAAGGAAAAAAGUCCUUUGACCCGAUGCUGUCAGAGAGCGUGCAUGAAGAAUAAAGUUAAUGGAUUUCCAUUUUUAUAAGAAGUGCCUAAGAAAUGCCUGUUAAGUUUCUGAACUGGGGAUGGGGAAUUCUAAAUUCAACGCCAACUUUGUGUGUAUAAGAAGUGAACCCCUGCCAACGGGUUUGCUAAAUGAAAUGCCAUAGGCUAUACUUACCCUAUUCUCAGCCCUACAAAAGCCCUGUUAGCACCAAUAGCAGAGCACCAGGUGAGUCUUUGAUCUGGGCUGUUGCCCUGGGAAUUAGAGCUGGACUGUCCUUUCCAAGUAGAAUUUCCAGGCUCAGAGCCCACUCCUCCCUGUUAAUGAUUUCUUUCUUUUUCAUCGCCCCGUUUUGCUCCCUCUUUUAGUAAAAGUUGAACACUCUCUGGAGUUAUGUAAUGUCCUUAGAUAGUUGUUCUUCACUAUGCUUCAAAUUCAGGGAUAUAUUUGUGUUUACCCCCCAAAAGGGGCCCUCUUCAUCUGCUCCUUAUCUUGACCCUUGUAAUACGUCUUGCAGUUAACCUUACCUAUCUCUGCAAAUGAUCCCUUUAUCUACCCAGAGCUCAAGCCCACACUGGGCAUUAUCUCUAAUUCCUUUGAGUCCAAACCCCUCUUAAAUCCGUCUGGAAUCCUUCUACCUCCUGCAAACCAGCUUUCUGCUUUCCUAGAUGCCAUUACAAUACUCCCCUCCUGAGGAUCACAGCAACUUCCUAACUCACGGUUUCUCUAACCACCAGUUGUGACUUAUUCAGGGGUCAUGAAACCAAUUGAGGCGGGUCAUGCAGUUUCACCACUUAAAAAAAUGAAGUAGAUUAGAAAAUGUGAGAUUGCGUCAGACAAAGGAAAAAGUACUGUUUUGUGAGAUUUGUUUCAGUUUGUGUUUGCAUCUGGAUCUCUGUACGUUCUGGGCAACAGGUAAAAACGGAUUUUGUUUGCCACGAUAUUCUGAGAAAUACUUUUCUGAUUGCUCUCACUGGGUCUGCCUGAUGCCUGCUUCAGGAGCCUGCUUCACUGCUGGAUACACUUGGAGCAAGGGUUGAAGACACUGAACAGAAGCUGUCACUCCAAACGACAGGUCUGCCCACAGGAGAGUCUCGGGCUUUGGAGAGUCUGAGUAACUGGGCUCCUGCUCACUUUUCAGAAGGGCCUUGGAACUCUGCAUCCUGACUGCUUCUACUCUUCCUUAUUAAAACCAUCAAGUUCACGGGAAAGUUAAAGGGACUUAGAAAAUAAAACAGCCUCCAUAAUGGAUUCCUGCCCAGGCAAGUCCAGACAUUUAAAGGAAUAGUCUUGCUGUUGUUUGCUAUCAUAUGGAGAGAUGUUAAGCUUUCCUUUUUAUAUUGGAAAUGAAAAAGUAAAGAAAUCUGCACAUGCCGACCAUCCCUGAUAGUGGUCAUUCCACGAAAGCCCAUGAGACAGACACAACCUUCCUGAAGUUGCCAGCAAGCACAUCCUUAUCCCUUCCUUAGUGUUGGGGCCCUGCCACCGCUCUGCAUCUUGCUGGGAAGAGAGGUGGCCCCAGUUCUUGCAACUCCUCCCCCAAAAUCCCGUGCCUGAACCGCACUAAAAGAAGUCCCUGUUUUUUCGCCGGGUGCCUUAAACUUACUUAUGUUAUGGAGUCUGGGUCUAGAGAACCUGCUCCAUUAAGUGGAAGGGCUACAGAAAUUCACCUUUUUUUUUUUUUUUUUUAAAUUUUAUUUAUUUAUUUAUUUAUUUGACAGUGAGAGAUCACAAGUAGGCAGAGAGGCGGGCAGAGAGAGAGGAGGGAAGCAGGCUACCUGCUGAGCAGAAAGCCCGAUGUGGGGCUUGAUCCCAGGACCCUGAGAUCAUGACCUGAACCGAAGGCAGCGGCUUAACCCACUGAGCCACCCAGGCGCCCCCAGAAAUUCACCUUUUUAGGGGGAAAAAAAAAAGAAAGAAAAACAGCAAUUUUAAAUUCUGUAAUUUAGAAGCCAGUGUGCUGCUUUUUUUUUCUUAAACUGAUUAGCAGUAGCUUGCCUUUGUUUGGCAGAAAAUAGGACAGAAACUUACUCUAAGAAUGUGAAUGUGAAUGUGCUCUCUAAGUCACUGCUGUGAUUCUGCACAAAACUACUAUGUACUCUGACAUCAAGCAGUUAGAGCACGUGUGCUUAUGGAGGAUUUUAACUUUAUUCCUUGGGCUUCUCAAAAGAGAGGGAGAAGCAGACUCCCUGCUGAGCAAGGAGCCCCAAUGAGGGGCUCAAUCCCAGGAUUUAUGACCUGAGCUGGAGGCAGCUUCUUAACCGAAUGAGCCAUCCAUGUGCCCCGGUUUUGAAUUAAAUUUAAAUGAAUCCCACAUUAAAAAAAAAUAAUAAUAAUGAAAGCCUCUUAAUAUUAUUUGAUAUUUCACUGUCUUUAAGAACUUAAGGAACAUUGACCCAUAAACACUGAACACUGGCAUUGCACUGAUGUUUUCACACCUAACAUCUUACCGUUUCCAGAAUGCCAUCUUCUUACAUGUCUAAUUGCCUGUGGGACACACUGCUGUUUGCUCUCUCAUCACCACCCUCCUUGCCAACAGGCCUCAGUGCUGUUAACUUUUCCAAGCAGCCAUGACUUUUUGGGAAGUCAGUCCCUCCCCUAGAUACGGAGUCUGAAUCUUCAUUGAACCGAAGUGUGAUCGUAGUGAUUCUGGGAAGGUUUCCCUCUCUAGUCAAAGCAACACAAGGCAAGGACAUUGUUUUUGCUCCUCUGGACGUUGUCAUCAGCAAGAGAUACCCUGAAGUGUGACUGCCAUCUGGGGACCCUGUGGCAGGGUCUGCCUGAGCAGACAAACCCGUACGGAGGAUGACAGGUGGAAAGAUGGUAGGAAGCUGGUUUGGAUAUAUUCAAUGGCUGCCUAACCUCUAGAUUUGCUGUUAUUUGAGAAAAUGAAUGCCUUUCCCAUCUAAGUCACUUUGAUUUUAUUUAUAAAAUUUUAUUUGCUUAUUUAUUUAUUUGGCUUGGGCUUAUGCAGAUGAAUUUAUAUAUGCUAAGCGUCAUGCUUGCACGAACACUCCUGUUCAUUCAUCAAGAUUCACUUUAUUUGUGUUCCAUUAGUACCUCCUACAUAUCUUUAUCGUAAAACGCACCACAGGGGUGCAUGAGUGGCUCAGUUGGUUAAGCAUCUGGCUCUUGAUUUCAGCUCAGGUCAUGAGCUCAGGGUCACGAGAUUGAGCCCUGCAUUGGGCUCUGUGCUGGGUGCAGAGCCUGCUUAGGACUCCCUCCCUCUGCCCCCCCCCCCCCAUCCUCCCUGUGCUCUGGCAAACUCAAUCAAAACAAAACAAAAACCCAAAAAACUUAUCAGACUUUGCUUGUUACAGCACUUCUCCAAUGCUCUUGUAUGAGAACGAGGAAAGUUAGUGAUCAGGCAGAUCUUUGUUUACUACUGUUUACUUGUUGGAUUAAAUGAUUCUUUUUUUCUUUUUAAAAAGAUUUUAUUUAUUCAUUUGAGAGAGAUAGCACAAGCAGGGGAGAGGCAGAGGGAGUGGGAGAAGCAGACUUCUAGCUGAGCAGGGAGCCCAAAGUGAGGCCCAGGACCCUGGGAUGAUGAUCAGGAGGGGAGGGCAGGAUAUGAAUGGCACCUGCUCACUCUAAGUUCAAAUACUUGAAAAUUUAAAGUUUCAGACCCUAUCCAAGCUCUGUUUAAGGCUUGUCAACUAGAUUUCCUUAGUUCACUAUAGUAAUAAGGUAGACUACCAGCCCCCAAAUUAUCCGCUUCAAUUACUACAAUUCUAUUAAACAACCACUUCUCUGCUUUCCGUACCUGAGAGACAAUUUUGCAUGAUGUUUCAAAAUGUAAGUUUUAGAGGCAGACGUUGAUUUAAAAGUGUGUCACCUAGGGAAGGUUGUUUACUUUCUUUGAAUAUCAGUUUCUUAUUGUGUAAAAGGAGGACUAGAAUACCUUCCUGAAAAGGUUGUUGGAAGGAUAAAAUGAAGUAAUAUAUGAGAAAUGCUCAGCACAUUCCCUGACACAUAGUAAGUGCUCAAUAAGUGUAUACAUUAACAGCAACAAUAAUGUCAACAAUUUCAUAAGAGAAAUCCCUUCCUUUUCUCUUAGCAGCUACUGAGCCAGGUGCAUCCUAUGCAAAGGGCCUGUGACACGCCAAAGCAAUAGUUCCAUGUGAAGGUAGUCAGAUUAUGCCAUCCAUCUCUAUGACAACCACGCUCCUCAUUUAUUUUGUCCAGUGCCAGAUGGGUGGUAUGUGAUGAGACAAAACUGAACCUCAGGCUAAAACUGUCAUUCAGUAUAUUCACUAGCAGUACCCCUGCCAGGGAUGCCCUCAAACUUUGGAUUUCAUGUGGCCUUUAUUUACUUUUAAAGAUUUUAUUUAUUUCUUUAUUUAUUGGACAGAGAGAGAAAUCACAAGUAGGCAGAGAGGCAGGCAGAGAGAGAGGGGAAAGCAGGCUCCCUGCCUAGCAGAGAGUCCGAUGUGGGGCUUGAUCCCAGGAUCCUGAGAUCAUGACCUGAGUGGAAGGCAAAGGCUUAACCCACUGAGCCACCCAGACACUCCUUCAUGUGACCUUUAAAUUCAUAGUUUCAGUCAUAGAAGUACUUCUGAAACACGGACUAUCUCAGACAUAUUUUCAUUUUUAGUUAUUUCCCAAGGACAAAAUAAAGCCAAAGAUACCUCAAUGUCUGCCAUUUAGUCCAUUUUGCUAUUACUAACAAAGGAAGAUUAGAUUAGAAAAGAUUGUUGAGAAAAAAAAUUUGAGCUUAAGUGAAGUGUGGGUAGCACUCUAUCCUAUAAGUGGUCUUGGAUAUAAAAUCAAACCGGGGCAUCUGGGUGACUCAGUUAGUUGAGACUCUGACUUUGGCUCAGGUCAUAAUCUCAGGGUACUAGAAUUGAGCCCUGCAUGGGGCUCCCUGCUCAGUGGGGAGCCUGCUUCUCCCUCUUCCUUUGCCUCCCCCCCUGCUCAUGCUCUCUGUUUCUCAAAUUAGUAAAUAAAAAACUAAAAAAAGAAACAAAACCAACCUAAACUUUCUCAGGAAAAAAAGGGUUGGCAUUCUAGAGAAAGGAGUAAAAGGAACAAUGUUGGUUGAAGGGGUCCUAUGCCCAGGGCACUUAGAAAGAAUGGAUUUAUGGGGUGCUUGGGUGGUACAGUCAGUUAAGUGGCUGACUCUUGAUUUGGGCUCAGGGUCAUGGGAUAGAGCCCCAUGUCAGUCUCCAUGCUCAGUGCCGAGUCUUUGGAAGUCUCUCUCUCCCUCCCCACCCCAUACUCUCUCUUUCACUCUCUAAAAUAAACCUUUUUUAAAAAAAUUAAUUUGUUAAUUAAUUAAUUUGACAGAGAGAGAAGGAGAGAUCACAAGUAGGCAGAGAGAGGGAGAGGGGGAAGCAGGCUCCCAAAGAGCCAGACACAGGCCUCGAUCCCAGGACCCUGAGAUCAUGACCUGAGCCUAAGGCAGAGGCUUAACCCACUGAGCCACCCAGGUGACCCAAAUUCAUAGUUCUUAUAAAAAAGGUUUA